rnacentral:rRNA from 1 species
UACGGAGGGUGCGAGCGUUGUCCGGAAUCAUUGGGCGUAAAGGGCGCGUAGGUGGCGGGACAAGCGUGCGGUGAAAGCUCGGGGCUCAACCCCGAGUCGGCCGUGCGAACUGUUUUGCUUGAGCACUGUAGAGGCAGGCGGAAUUCCGGGUGUAGCGGUGGAAUGCGUAGAGAUCCGGAAGAACACCGGUGGCGAAGGCGGC